CGACUCCUCUGGUAUCCAGCAACCCGAUCGGUCUCCCUCGUUGCUGAGCUCAAGUGAGGCAUCCCGGCGAACGCGUCAAGAUCGUUUGUCAUCUUGAUCGAUUUGCGUCGCGGUUUCAGCGGAGACGUGACUUGACGGGACAGCCGGAAGCGUGUCAGCAUUAUAUAUUCCGCGUGAUUAUAUAACACGUUAGUUUUACGAUCUCGAUCUUGCGGUCUCCGGCGUGAUACCGCGCGCACGGCCAGUUACCAGUUAUUCGUCGAUCGUGUUUGGGUGAUCGUACGGCUUCGCGAGACGCGUCUCCCAUGGGGUCUUGAUCAUGUUAGUCUCUGCCCAACCAGUAGUCGCUACGCCUGUGUGCCGGUGUUAUGGAUCGAGGUGGUUCUGUUGAAAUCGUUCCGAUUUAGAAAUCACGUCGAAACUCUCAUUGGAUGCUUCGAAUAAGGCGGUUUACGUUGAACAAGUUCGUUCUGCUGUUAACGUUCGCCCUUGCCGACCUAAA